rnacentral:rRNA from 1 species
AUGGCUCAGGAUGAACGCCGGCGGUGUGCCUAAUACAUGCAAGUCGUACGCACUGGCCCAACUGAUUGAUGGUGCUUGCACCUGAUUGACGAUGGAUCACCAGUGAGUGGCGGACGGGUGAGUAACACGUAGGUAACCUGCCCCGGAGCGGGGGAUAACAUUUGGAAACAGAUGCUAAUACCGCAUAACAACAAAAGCCACAUGGCUUUUGUUUGAAAGAUGGCUUUGGCUAUCACUCUGGGAUGGACCUGCGGUGCAUUAGCUAGUUGGUAAGGUAACGGCUUACCAAGGCGAUGAUGCAUAGCCGAGUUGAGAGACUGAUCGGCCACAAUGGAACUGAGACACGGUCCAUACUCUUACGGGAGGCAGCAGUAGGGAAUCUUCCACAAUGGGCGCAAGCCUGAUGGAGCAACACCGCGUGAGUGAAGAAGGGUUUCGGCUCGUAAAGCUCUGUUGUUGGAGAAGAACGUGCGUGAGAGUAACUGUUCACGCAGUGACGGUAUCCAACCAGAAAGUCACGGCUAACUACGUGCCAGCAGCCGCGGUAAUACGUAGGUGGCAAGCGUUAUCCGGAUUUAUUGGGCGUAAAGCGAGCGCAGGCGGUUGCUUAGGUCUGAUGUGAAAGCCUUCGGCUUAACCGAAGAAGUGCAUCGGAAACCGGGCGACUUGAGUGCAGAAGAGGACAGUGGAACUCCAUGUGUAGCGGUGGAAUGCGUAGAUAUAUGGAAGAACACCAGUGGCGAAGGCGGCUGUCUGGUCUGCAACUGACGCUGAGGCUCGAAAGCAUGGGUAGCGAACAGGAUUAGAUACCCUGGUAGUCCAUGCCGUAAACGAUGAGUGCUAGGUGUUGGAGGGUUUCCGCCCUUCAGUGCCGGAGCUAACGCAUUAAGCACUCCGCCUGGGGAGUACGACCGCAAGGUUGAAACUCAAAGGAAUUGACGGGGGCCCGCACAAGCGGUGGAGCAUGUGGUUUAAUUCGAAGCUACGCGAAGAACCUACCAGGUCUUGACAUCUUGCGCUAACCUUAGAGAUAAGGCGUUCCCUUCGGGGACGCAAUGACAGGUGGUGCAUGGUCGUCGUCAGCUCGUGUCGUGAGAUGUUGGGUUAAGUCCCGCAACGAGCGCAACCCUUGUUACUAGUUGCCAGCAUUAAGUUGGGCACUCUAGUGAGACUGCCGGUGACAAACCGGAGGAAGGUGGGGACGACGUCAGAUCAUCAUGCCCCUUAUGACCUGGGCUACACACGUGCUACAAUGGACGGUACAACGAGUUGCAAACUCGCGAGAGCAAGCUAAUCUCUUAAAGCCGUUCUCAGUUCGGACUGUAGGCUGCAACUCGCCUACACGAAGUCGGAAUCGCUAGUAAUCGCGGAUCAGCAUGCCGCGGUGAAUACGUUCCCGGGCCUUGUACACACCGCCCGUCACACCAUGGGAGUUUGUAACGCCCAAAGUCGGUGGCCUAACCUUUAUGGAGGGAGCCGCCUAAGGCGGGACAGAUGACUGGGGUGAAGUCGUA